rnacentral:rRNA from 1 species
GACGAAGGGGGCUAGCGUUGUUCGGAAUUACUGGGCGUAAAGCGCGUGUAGGCGGUUGCCCAAGUCGGGUGUGAAAGCCUUGAGCUCAACUCAAGAAAUGCACUCGGUACUGGGUGACUAGAGGACCGGAGAGGAUAGUGGAAUUCCCAGUGUAGUGGUGAAAUACGUAGAGAUUGGGAAGAACACCAGUGGCGAAGGCGGCUAUCUGGACGGUUUCUGACGCUAAGACGCGAAAG